rnacentral:misc_RNA from 1 species
AAGUCGUAACAAGGUUUCCGUAGGUGAACCUGCGGAAGGAUCAUUAACACGUUAUCCACGUAUCUACCUCUUGCGAACUUUUUACCGUUCAGGAGUCGGCAGACCAGCGUAGAUGAUGGAGGUAGAUGUUACUAUGUCCAGUGGCCGACGCCCUGGUUCUACCUGCCUAGCCAAUGCCCGCAACCCCCCGCCCCUUGAUUAUGUUUUUUUAAAUGUGGUGUAAAAAACAGAAAAAGAGUGUGUGGUUGUGUGGCUUGGGUAUUCUGGUUCAUAUGACUCGAAUCAUAGUAGUUUUUACUCUUAUUCACCCUUUUUUUACUUAAUUUGUUGAAUUGUGAUGGUCUCGGAGGUAACACUUCGUAGCACUCACGUUAAUAAAACACUAUACAACUCUUAGCAACGGAUAUCUCGGUUCU